CUGCUUAAUUGUAGUCUGCCGAUGUAUUUUUCAAACCCCAUUUACCUAAUACUGAUCUAUACUCCAAAAACGAAAGUUUAUGGUUUUAAUCUAUAACAACUUUCAGCAGUGGAUGUCUAGGCUCGCACAUCGAUGAAGAACGCUGCGAACUGCGAUACGUAAUGCGAAUUGCAGAAUUCAGUGAGUCAUCGAAAUUUUGAACGCACAUUGCACUUUCGGGUUAUGCCUGGAAGUAUGCCUGUAUCAGUGUCCGUACAUCAAACUUGCCUUUCUUUUUCUGUGUAGUCAGGGAGAGAGAUGGCAGAAUGUGAGGUGUCUCGCUGGCUCCCUUUUCGGAGGAGAAGACGCGAGUCCCUUUAAAUGUACGUUCGCUCUUUCUUGUGUCUAAGAUGAAGUGUGAUUCUCGAAUCGCGGUGAUCUGUUUGGAUCGCUUUGCGCAUUUGGGCGACUUCGGUUAGGACAUUAAAGGAAGCAACCUCUAUUGGCGGUAUGUUAGGCUUCGGCCCGACGUUGCAGCUGACAGAGUGUGGUUUUCUGUUCUUUCCUUGAGGUGUACCUGAAUUGUGUGAGGCAAUGGUCUGGGCAAAUGGUUGCUGUGUAGUAGGGUUUUGCUGCUCUUGGACGCCCUGUUUUCGGAUAGGGUAAA
rnacentral:misc_RNA from 1 species